CCUACGGGGGGGCAGCAGUGGGGAAUAUUGCACAAUGGGGGAAACCCUGAUGCAGCCAUGCCGCGUGUGUGAAGAAGGCCUUCGGGUUGUAAAGCACUUUCAGCGAGGAGGAAAGGGUGUAAGUUAAUACCUUACAUCUGUGACGUUACUCGCAGAAGAAGCACCGGCUAACUCCGUGCCAGCAGCCGCGGUAAUACGGAGGGUGCGAGCGUUAAUCGGAAUUACUGGGCGUAAAGCGUGCGCAGGCGGUUUGUUAAGCGAGAUGUGAAAGCCCCGGGCUCAACCUGGGAACCGCAUUUCGAACUGGCAAACUAGAGUCUUGUAGAGGGGGGUAGAAUUCCAGGUGUAGCGGUGAAAUGCGUAGAGAUCUGGAGGAAUACCGGUGGCGAAGGCGGCCCCCUGGACAAAGACUGACGCUCAGGCACGAAAGCGUGGGGAGCAAACAGGAUUAGAUACCCCAGUAGUC
rnacentral:rRNA from 1 species